UCUUUAAAAGACGACAUAUCUUAGGCGAUAUCAACAGUUUUCUUCAUAUUUCUUUACACUCCAGUUUGUGAAUAUGAAACUAUUUAUUCUGAUGGCUUUAUGGCUUAUUUCUCUCGCUGUGCCUUCGAUGGCAAUUAGAGGAAAUCGCAUACGUCCACCUCCAGCACCUUCAGGCUAAGGACAAAAAGUCAACGGUAGAAGAGUAUUCUAACUUUGUGUCAACUGGAAAUGUAUGUAACUGGUAGAAGAAGGCAACUCCGACCCUAUAAAGUAUAUAUAUAUUCUUGAUUAGCACUGAGACGAUAAACCCAUGUCUGUCUGUCUGUCUAGAUCUCAGAGACCAUAAAAGAUAGAGCCAUGAUUUUUAACAUUAUUGUUGUACGCAGCACUGAAGACAUCAAAUAUCAAAGGUUUUAAGCUAGAGUCAUUUUUUUUUUGUAGACGCAAUAUUAAGUAUAAGUUAAGUAUUAGUUAUUUAAGAAAUAAUUUAAUAAGGAAGAAAAUCGAUAGUUGCUGCCGGAUCUUUAUUAAUUUGAUUCACAAAUCUGGUAUAUUUUGUAAGCAAUGAUAUAUUUUUAAUUGAUCGAUAUACCACAUUUAA